rnacentral:rRNA from 1 species
CUACUUGUAGGGAGCGGCGGACGGGUGCGUAACGCGUGGGAAUCUGCCCUGAAGCGAGGGAUAAGCCCGAGAAAUCGGGUCUAAUACCGCAUAUGGUCUACGGAUUAAAGCCUUCGGGCGCUUCGGGAGGAGCCUGCGUUCGAUUAGCUUGUUGGUGAGGUAAUGGCUCACCAAGGCUAUGAUCGAUAGCUGGUCUGAGAGGAUGAUCAGCCACACUGGGACUGAGACACGGCCCAGACUCCUACGGGAGGCAGCAGUAGGGAAUUUUCCACAAUGGGCGAAAGCCUGAUGGAGCAAUGCCGCGUGCAGGAUGACAGCCUUCGGGUCGUAAACUGCUUUUAUGAUUGAGGAUUAUGACGUUAGAUCAUGGAUAAGCUUCGGCUAACUCCGUGCCAGCAGCCGCGGUCAGACGGAGGAAGCAAGCGUUAUCCGGAGUGACUGGGCGUAAAGAGAUGCGUAGGCGGUAUAUUAAGCGGACAGUGAAAUCUUGAGGCUCAACCUUGAGGCUACUGUCUGAACUAAUAUACUAGAGCCCGAUAGGGGAAGCUGGAAUUCCUAGUGUAGGAGUGAAAUCCGUAGAUAUUAGGAGGAACACCAAUGGCGAAGGCAGGCUUCUGGAUCGGUGCUGACGCUCAGGCUCGAAAGCGCGGGGAGCGAACGGGAUUAGAUACCCCGGUAGUCCACGCCGUAAACGAUGGAUACUAGCUAGUUGGAGGUAUCGACCCCUUCAGCAGCGAAGCUAACGCGUUAAGUAUCCCGCCUGGGGAGUACGGUCGCAAGAUUAAAACUCAAACGAAUAGACGGGGACCCGCACAAGCGGUGGAGCGUGUUCUUUAAUUGGAUGAUAAGCCAAGAACCUUACCCAGACUUGACAUCCUUGGAAGGACUACGAAAGUAGUCUGUGCCUUUGGAAC